UUGCUUGCAUUAGGGCCCGGAAAGCGGCGAAAGGGAGAGUAACGCGUGGAUUAUCUACCCCCGGAUCCGGGAUAGCUGUGGGAAACUACAGGUAAUACCGGAUAACGUCUCCGGACCAAAGGUGUGAUUCCGUCUGGGGAUGAGUCCGCGUCCUACUAGCUAGUUGGUGGGGUAACGGCCUACCAAGGCAAUGAUGGGUACCGGGUGUGAGAGCAUGGCCCGGCUCACUGGGACUGAGACACUGCCCAGACACCUACGGGUGGCUGCAGUCGAGAAUCUUCCGCAAUGGGCGCAAGCCUGACGGAGCGACGCCGCGUGCGGGAUGAAGGCCUUCGGGUUGUAAAUCGCUGUCAGUUGGGAGGAAAUGCUAUAGGGUACUCUCUAUAGUUUGACCGAUCUUCAGAGGAAGUCCGGGCUAAGUUCGUGCCAGCAGCCGCGGUAAGACGAACCGGACGAACGUUAUUCGGAAUCACUGGGCUUAAAGAGUGCGUAGGCGGCUUUGUAGGUGAGGUGUGAAAUCCCACGGCUCAACCGUGGAACUGCGCUUCAAACCACAAAGCUUGAGGGAGGCAGAGGUAAGCGGAACUGAUGGUGGAGCGGUGAAAUGCGUUGAUAUCAUCAGGAACACCAGUGGCGAAGGCGGCUUACUGGGCCUUUUCUGACGCUGAGGCACGAAAGCUAGGGUAGCGAACGGGAUUAGAUACCCCGGUAGUCCUAGCUGUAAACGAUGAGCACUUGGUCGAGGAGACUUCCACAUCUUCUCGGCCGUAGCGAAAGUGUUAAGUGCUCCGCCUGGGGAGUAUGGUCGC
rnacentral:rRNA from 1 species